rnacentral:rRNA from 1 species
UACGUAGGGUGCGAGCGUUAAUCGGAAUUACUGGGCGUAAAGCGUGCGCAGGCGGUCUGUUAAGACAGAUGUGAAAUCCCCGGGCUUAACCUGGGAACUGCAUUUGUGACUGGCAGGCUAGAGUAUGGCAGAGGGGGGUGGAAUUCCACGUGUAGCAGUGAAAUGCGUAGAGAUGUGGAGGAACACCGAUGGCGAAGGCAGCCCCCUGGGUCAAGACUGACGCUCAUGCACGAAAGCGUGGGGAGCAAACAGG